UACGGAGGGUGCAAGCGUUAUCCGGAUUCACUGGGUUUAAAGGGUGCGUAGGUGGCUUUGUAAGUCAGUGGUGAAAUACCGCAGCUCAACUGCGGAACUGCCAUUGAUACUGCUUAGCUUGAAUCAGGUCGAGGUGGAUGGAAUAUUACAUGGUAGCGGUGAAAUGCUUAGAUAUGUAAUAGAACACCGAUGCGAAGGCAGUUCACUAGGCCUGAAUUGACACUGAGGCACGAAAAGCGUGGGGGAUCAAAACAGGG
rnacentral:rRNA from 1 species